UCAGGUCGUGCUCCGUUCAGGUCGUGUUGCGUUCAGGUCGCGUUGCGUUCAGGUCGUGCUGCGUUCAGGUCGUGCUGCGUUCAGGUCGUGCUGCGUUCAGGUCGUGUUGCGUUCAGGUCGUGUUGCGUUCAGGUCGUGUUCCGUUCAGGUCGU